GCGACUUAAACUUCCUCCUCCAACCCCGACUCCACCAUGACGGAACCCGUGUUCAUGGUGUGGAUUCCUGCCCCGAACAGAACCAUACCGCCAACACUAACUGAAGCUGUAGGAGUCUAGAAGGGAGGACGACGUCUGGACAAUGUGUGUAACCCUUGUGCACACUCAUUAGGCUCGCUAAUCUGGAGAGACCUACGGAGGGAAAAAUAUCCAAAUCGAUGGAAAAUCAAUGGAGCUCAUUUCACAUGCGGCUGCGUUACUGUGCUGUUAAAGCUGCAAACAGAUUUAAUGAUACUGAGACUCGGUCUG